UACGGGGGGGGUAAGCGUUGUUCGGAAUUACUGGGCGUAAAGGGCUCGUAGGCGGCCAACUAAGUCGGACGUGAAAUCCCUCAGCUUAACUGGGGAACUGCGUCUGAUACUGGAUGGCUUGGAUUUGGGAGAGGGAUGCGGAAUUCCAGGUGUAGCGGUGAAAUGCGUAGAUAUCUGGAGGAACACCGGUGGCGAAGGCGGCAUCCUGGACCGACACUGACGCUGAGGAGCGAAAGCCAGGGGAGCAAACGGG
rnacentral:rRNA from 1 species